rnacentral:rRNA from 1 species
GUGGGGAAUCUUGCGCAAUGGGCGAAAGCCUGACGCAGCGACGCCGCGUGGGCGAAGAAGGCCUUCGGGUUGUAAAGCCCUGUUGGUGGGAAAGAAGACUGACGGUACCCACUGAGGAAGCCCCGGCUAACUCCGUGCCAGCAGCCGCGGUAAGACGGAGGGGGCAAGCGUUGUCCGGAAUUACUGGGCGUAAAGGGCGCGUAGGCGGCUUGUUAAGUCGGUUGUGAAAGCCUCGGGCUCAACCCGGGGAGGCCAGCCGAUACUGGCGGGCUUGAGGGCAGGAGAGGGAAGUGGAACUGCCGGUGUAGCGGUGGAAUGCGUAGAUAUCGGCAGGAACACCCGCGGCGAAGGCGGCUUCCUGGACUGCUCCUGACGCUGAGGCGCGAAAGCCAGGGGAGCGAACGGGAUUAGAAACCCUGGUAGUCC